AUCACCAGGCAGCAGUGCUCACCGUCGGGCCGCACACCGUCCCCGUGGAGCAGCAUAGCGAUGGGCAUCCCCACAUUCUUGCUCCUGCCACACACCACGGCAUUCUUACCAAAUGUCUCAAUGCCUGAAAAAAGUGCAAGCAGACACAUGCACAAGAUAGUACAACCAACAAACUGUGCCAAACAAACUGCUACAAUCCUGAACAAUGUGAACUGACGGACAUACAAAAUUUCUGUGUUGUGAAAUGGUACAAGGGCUGUACGGUUUACAGGGAACUCAGUAUUACUGAUGUGUACUACGAUGUUUAACAUUACAUUUUAAGGUGUAAAGACAUGCCAGUAAUAACUACUUACUGUGUCAGUCUACAGAGGCAAAAGAAACAAAAGUGUUGUAAAGGAACCAAUUUGCUGGACAUACCUGGUGGGGUGUGUGGCUCAAUAUUAAUUGAAACAGCAAAAAAAAUCACAAAGGAUAAAAUUAAGAAAAGGAUGAGUUUAGAACACUUAUGGCUGUCCCUUGAGGGAGUCCCUAGGAAGUGGUGUCAGAGUAGAAAGACACUGCUAUGACAACAGUACAGUAUUGUCAGUACAGUGAUGUCUGUGUAUGACCAUGCUCAUCAAAUUUCAAACCUGACACAGUUAACUUUUCAAAGUGCAUAUACUGACUUGUGCAAGAAAUCCAUUAUUUUGAGGUAAGUACUUGUUAGGGUUCUACACAAGCCCACACUCUUGGAAGUAGAUAUAACAUAAGUAGUGUAAUAAAGUCAAACCCUCUUAA